rnacentral:rRNA from 1 species
CCUACGGGUGGCAGCAGUGAGGAAUAUUCGUCAAUGGGCGCGAGCCUGAACCAGCCAAGUAGCGUGAAGGAUGACUGCCCUACGGGUUGUAAACUUCUUUUAUAAAGGAAUAAAGUGAGGCACGUGACCCUUUUUGUAUGUACUUUAUGAAUAAGGAUCGUCUAACUCCGUGCCAGCAGCCGCGGUAAUACGGAGGAUCCGAGCGUUAUCCGGAUUUAUUGGGUUUAAAGGGAGCGUAGAUGGGUGGUUAAGUCAGUUGUGAAAGUUUGCGGCUCAACCGUAGAAGUGCAAUUGAUACUGGCAGCCUUGAGUACAGUUGAGGUAGGCGGAAUUCGUGGUGUAGCGGUGGAAUGCUUAGAUAUCACGAAGAACUCCGAUUGCGAAGGCAGCCUACUAAACUGCCACUGACAUUGAGGCUCGAAAGUGUGGGUAUCAAACAGGAUUAGAUACCCCUGUAGUC